GAAUUUGGUGAGAGGUGAUUGAAUCAUGGGGGCAGAUUUCCCACAUGCUGUUCUUAAUGAGAUCUGAUGAUUCAAUAGUGUGUGGCACUUCCUCCCUCUCUGUCUUUCUUUUUUUCUCUCCUGCUUUGACAUGUGAAGAUGUGCUUGCCUUCCAACAUGAUUGAAGAAGAUGAUUUUUCACCUAGUGGAGUCAUUGAACAGUGGUCUUCAAAUUGGGAUUAUUUCCAAGAAUAGAUUAAAAUGCCAUGAAAAAGAAAAAAUUAUAGAAAAGCAAAAAGAGCUGAAUGCAGUGAAUGAACAUCUGUGAAUGAAGUUGAGAAGGUAUAUGUGGGGCAGACUAGAAUUGCAGUGCACAGAUACAAGAAUGUUGCCUGCUUUGGAGCCAAGACUGCCUUCCGGAUAAAGGGCCCACAGAGAGCUGAGAGCUGUGUAAUACCUCAAAGACUGAAGAAAAGAGUUAGACAGCCAUCUUUCCUUAGAGGAUUUUGCUGCAGACAGCUUGAACUACCAGAAGGUUAUAUACUGACCAUGGGUAGAGUAAGGAAGAAAUACAUCCUUCGGAAAGGACAAUGAAGAUCUUUACAGCAGGGAGGUGAGGACAAAGUGAUUCUCCCUUCUGGAGGAUGCAGCAAAGUGCUGCCUGCCAUCUUGGAAGCACAGAGUAGCCUUCACCACACUCUAAUCCCAUCAGAGCCUUGAUCUUGGACUUGCCAGCCUUCAGAACAGUCUUGCCUCAUCACUGCCAUGACAGGGGGGUCCAAUGUGAGGAUUCUGGUGUCUAUGCCAAGCAUCUCUUUUCCAACGUAGAUCUGAUUUCUUAACAUAGCCAACAGCAAGUCAACAUCAGCUUUGCAGAGAAAAGCAGGGAUGCGUGUGCACAAAGAAAAGGCCAUGUGAGGACAUAGCAAGAGGGAAGCUGUCCGCAAGCCAAGGAAAAAGGCCUCAGGAGAAACCAAAUCUGCCAAUACAUUGAUCUUGGACUUCCAGCAUUCAGAAAUGUAUGUGAAAAUUAAGGACAGAUCCUAUGCUGACCUGAUAAACAAAGAUAGCUCUUUCGAGCUCAAUGUACAUUGAGUGUAACAAGAGGGAAGGAGGGAGGAAACCACUGCCCAUUUGGGAUUCCUUCAAAUUCACAUCUCUCCAAAAUGGGAGACUUGUAUUUUCUGACAUUCAACUUAAUCGAAGAAUAAAGCUUUAACAGUGGCAUCAGUGACAUGAUGAAUGAUGCAUCAUUUUGAAGUAAUAAUGGUUUUCCCAGUGACUCAGAAAUAGCAGUAUGUUCAGAUUCAGUGUGCCUGUUCAUGAGAGCUCUGCAGAAAUUGCACAUCUGGCUCUUUGCCUGUGCACCUGAAGUUAUCUCAGGAGAAAUUAUACAAAUUAAAUACAGACACAGAGAAGGUCUUUUUUAAUUCAAAGGAAAAGAAUAUAUAUUCAAGAAAAGCAAAAAAGGUGGAAGUUGGGCCUUUGGUCAUUAAUUCUCUCUCUCUCUCUUGCUAAUUUUUGCAAAUAGGGAGAACUUGGAACAUCUGCCAAAAUUUUUAUUUUGUGCUUUAUUUUGGCUACCUGUUUAUUCCAUAGAACUAUGACUUGUCCUGGUGAUUCAGGCUUACUCCUUAAUUUCUGAACUGAUUGCCAGAGAGUCAGGGAUAUACACAUACAUUAUA
rnacentral:lncRNA from 1 species